rnacentral:rRNA from 1 species
UACAGAGGUCUCAAGCGUUGUUCGGAUUCAUUGGGCGUAAAGGGUGCGUAGGCGGCGCGGUAAGUCGGGUGUGAAAUCUUGGAGCUUAACUGUGAAACUGCAUUGGAUACUAUUCGGCUAGAGAGUUGGAGGGGGGACUGGAAUUCUUGGUGUAGCAGUGAAAUGCGUAGAUAUCAAGAGGAACACCAGUGGCGAAGGCGAGUCCCUGGACAACUUCUGACGCUGAGGCACGAAAGCUAGGGGAGCAAACAGG